UACAGAGGGUGCGAGCGUUAAUCGGAAUUACUGGGCGUAAAGCGCGCGUAGGCGGCUUUGCAAGUCGGGUGUGAAAUCCCCAGGCUUAACCUGGGAACUGCAUUCGAGACUGCAUUGCUAGAGUAUGGGAGAGGGAAGUGGAAUUUCCGGUGUCGCGGUGAAAUGCGUAGAUAUCGGAAGGAACAUCAGUGGCGAAAGCGACUUCCUGGACCAAUACUGACGCUCAUGUGCGAAAGCGUGGGGAGCAAACAGG
rnacentral:rRNA from 1 species